rnacentral:rRNA from 1 species
UACGUAGGGGGCAAGCGUUGUCCGGAAUCAUUGGGCGUAAAGAGCGUGUAGGCGGCCCGGUAAGUCCGCUGUGAAAGUCGGGGGCUCAACCCUCGAAUGCCGGUGGAUACUGUCGGGCUAGAGUGCGGAAGAGGCGAGUGGAAUUCCUGGUGUAGCGGUGAAAUGCGCAGAUAUCAGGAGGAACACCAAUUGCGAAGGCAGCUCGCUGGGACGUAACUGACGCUGAGACGCGAAAGCGUGGGGAGCAAACAGG